rnacentral:rRNA from 1 species
GAUGAACGCUAGCUACAGGCUUAACACAUGCAAGUCGAGGGGCAGCAUUAUCGAAGCUUGCUUUGAUAGAUGGCGACCGGCGCACGGGUGAGUAACGCGUAUCCAACCUUCCCCAUAGUCAGGAAUAGCCCCGGCGAAAGUCGAAUUAAUGCCUGAUGUUUUCCACGGACGGCAUCCGAUGUGGAACAAAGAUUCAUCGCUAUGGGAUGGGGAUGCGUCUGAUUAGCUUGUGGCGGGUAACGCCCACCAAGGCAACGAUCAGUAGGGGUUCUGAGAGGAAGGUCCCCCCANAUUGGAACUGAGACACGGUCCAAACUCCUACGGGAGCAGCAGUGAGGAAUCUUGGGUCCAAUGGGGCGAGAGGCCCUUGGAAACCC